ensembl:lncRNA
GUCAUGUAAUUGGCGUGUGUGCACCAUUUACGGUUUGGGCGGUAGUACCACUUUCUUGGUAGGAAGUAUAAGAACUAGAACUGCAAGCAGUUAUGCAGGGGUCCAAGAAGUGUGCAUUUCGCCGGCACAACGCGACAAGAAAUGUGCGUUUCGCCGGCACAACGCGAAGCAAGUGUUCAAAACGCUACCGUGAACAACAUGUGGAUAUAAAGGUUUUGACUGUGGGAGCUUCGGUGUGGGAGUUAUAGCCUAAAACUCGUUUUCAGAACAUUCCAUUGGCCAAAUAGGAGAUAGACAAUGUCGUCGUUUUUUGGCGCCGCCCUGUGGCGACAUUUUCCAAAGACAAUUUUCCUUUGCCA